AAAAACAUGGCCUUAUGUAAAAAAUUUAAGGUUUGGCCUGCUCAAUGAAUUUUAAAUAGCCGCAGUAUUUUGACUGUGCAAAGGUAGCAUAAUCAUUAGUUUUUUAAUUGAAAGCUGGAAUGAAAGGUUGAAUGAAAAAAUAACUGUCUUUAUAAAAAUUUUAUAGAAUUUUAUUUUUAAGUUAAAAAGCUUAAAUUUUUAUGAAAGACGAGAAGACCCUAUAGAGUUUUAUAUUUUUUAUAUAAUAUUUUUUUUAGUAUUUUUAAUUUAUUGUAUUAAUUAAAUAUUUAAUUGGGGUGAUUAGAAAAUUUAUAAAACUUUUCUUUAAUUAUUUAUCAUUAAUUUAUGUUCAUAUGAUCCUUUAUUAAUUAAGAUUAUAAGAUUAAAUUACCUUAGGGAUAACAGCGUAAUUUUUUUUAAGAGUUCUUAUCGAAAAAAAAGAUUGCGACCUCGAUGUUGGAUUAAAAUAAACUUUUGGUGUAGAAGCUAAAUAGUUAGGUCUGUUCGACCUUUAAAAUUUUACUUGAUCUGAGUU
rnacentral:rRNA from 1 species